rnacentral:rRNA from 1 species
AUUGAACGCUGGCGGCAGGCCUAACACAUGCAAGUCGAGCGAGCGGCGGACGGGUGAGUAAUGUAUGGGGACUGCCCGAUAGAGGGGGAUAACUACUGGAAACGGUGGCUAAUACCGCAUACUAUCGGAUAACCCAUAUGGGAUUAGCUAGUAGGUGGGGUAAAGGCGAACCUAGGCGACGAUCUCUAGCUGGUCUGAGAGGAUGAUCAGCACUACUGGGACUGGGACACUGCCCGGAUUCCAAGGGAGGCAGCAGGGGGGAAUAUUGCGGAAUGGGCGCAACCCUGAUGCAGCCAUGCCGCGUGAAUGAAGAAGGCCGUAGGGUUGUAAAGUUCGUUCGGUGGGGAGGCGUUACUCGCAGAAGAAGCACCGGCUAACUCCGUGCCAGCAGCCGCGGUAAUAC